rnacentral:rRNA from 1 species
CUAAAUUAACAAAAAGCAAAUUUCACUAUAGUUUUCAAACAAUUCCCCGGCAAUGGCGCCAAAAACUUGAUAGGCUAAAUAGUGUUAGCUACAAUCUAAGGCAAUGUACCUAUCGAUGCAGUCUAGCACUAAUGGCGAGUAUCAAGGUCAUAUUCCUCGGGAAAGUGAAAGCCCAGAGUUACUCCUUUGUUCUUUGUUAUAUUAACCUAAAAUAAAUGAUGAAUAAUUGAUAAACUAACUAAUAGCUACAAGCUAAGUCCUAAGGGAGAUGCAGGAGUAAUUGAUAAACGAAAUAAUCAAGACAAGAAGAGAAACCCAAAAGGAAUCUAAACUAGUUGGCAAUCAAACAAAAGAAAAAGGAUCGGUGAGUCUAAUUAUGCUACCCGUGGACGAAUUCUUAACCGAAAUCAGUUUCUCUCUCGAGAUAACCGAAUUCCUAAACCUAAUAACCUAAAGUUGGAAUCUCUUCCUAAUGAUUGAUUCUUAAAUUAGCAUUAAGCUAUAAUCCGCCUCUAUUAAGCUUUGUUAAUUCUUAAUCCAGCUAGUUAAUUCUCCUUAUCUCUAAGCGAUUAUUAACCAGUUCUUGCUAUUCAAAAUUCCAAUUGCCAAAUGGACUUCUCAAUCACACAAAGCAAUCUAACCACCCAAUUCAUAACGUCUCAUGAAUAAUAAUUUAUCUUAUUAAUACUGAAAGCAAGAAGAAUACAAAACUAACCCAAACAAUCCAACAAUAUAAUAUCAAGCCAACAUAGUAAAGAAAUCCCAAUGGAUUUAAUCAAUCUAGCUAAUCAUGUUCAUUCUUAAAAUACACAAGAAUUCAAUUACAAUUGGUAAGUAAAACUGGCGAUCCGGGAUGAACCGGAAGCCGGGUUACAAUGCGCAACUAUGCACUAACCUAGAACCUACAAAGGGUGUUGGUCGAUUAAGACAGUAGGACGGUGGUCAUGGAAGUCGAAAUCCGCUAAGGAGUGUGUAAUAACUCACCUGCCGAAUCAACUAGCCCCGAAAAUGUAUGGUGCUUAAGCGAGCGACCUAUACCCAGCCGUUGGGGCAAGAGCCAGGCCCCGAUGAGUAGGAGGGCGUGGCGGUUGCUGCAAAACCCAGGGCGCGAGCUCGGGCAAAGCGGCCAUCGGUGCAGAUCUUGAUGGUAGUAGUAAAUAUUCAAAUGAGAACUUUGAAGGCCGAAGAGGGGAAAGUUUCCAUAUGAACAGCACUGGCACAUGGGUUAGUCUAACAGUGCGUCCGCACGCGAACUUUGAAAGGGAAUCGGGUUAAAAUUCCCGAACCGGGACGUGGCAGCUAACGGCAACGUUGGGGAGUCCAAAGACGUCGACGGGGGCCUCGAGAAGAGUUAUCUUUCCUGUUUAACAACCCGCCCAUCUUGGAAACAACUCAGUCAGAGGUAGGGUCCAGCAGUUGGAAGAGCACCGUACGUUGCGUGGUGUCCGAUGAACCCCCGACAGCCUAUGAAAAUCUGGAGGACCGAGUGCCAUCCACGCCCGGUCGUACUCAUAACUGCAUCAAGUCUCCAAGGUGAACAGCCUCUGGUCAAUGGAACAAUGUAGGCAAGGGAAGUCGGCAAAAUGGAUCCGUAACCUCGGGAAAAGGAUUGGCUCUGAAGGUUGGGCUCGGAGGUCCUAGUCCCGAACCUGUCGGCUGUCAGCGGACUGUUCGAGCUACUCCAGCGAUGAGAGCGGGUCGCCGCGUGUCGGCCGGGGGACAGAUUAGGAACGGCCUCUUCGGGGGCCUUCCCCAGGCAUCGAAUAAUCGACUCAAAACUGGUACGGACAAGGGGAAUCCGACUGUUUAAUUGAAACAAAGCAUUGCAAUGGUCCCUACGGAUGCUCACGCAAUGUGAUUUCUGCCCAGUGCUCUGAAUGUCAAAGUGAAGAAAUUCAACCAAGCACGGGUAAAUGGCGGGAGUAACUAUGACUCUCUUAAGGUAGCCAAAUGCCUCAUCAUCUAAUUAGUGAUGCGCAUGAAUGGAUUAAUGAGAUUCCCACAGUCCCUGUCUACUAUCCAAUGAAACCACAACCAAAGGAACGGGCUUGGCGGAAUCAGCAGAGAAAGAAGACCCUGUUGAGCUUAACUCUAGUCCAACUUUGUGAAAUGACUUGAGAGGUGUAGGAUAAGUAGGAGCCUUAACCGGCGAAUCAGAGGUAGGGCUACGCCCCUCUUUUUGGACACUAGGUCGCUUCGGCAGCUAAUCUGUGCAGAAGACAUUGUCAGGUGGGGAGUUUGGCUAGGGCGACACAUUUAUUAAAAGAUAACAUAGGUGUCCUAAGAUGAGCUCAAUAAGAACAAAAAUCUCGUGUGGAACAAAAGGGUAAAAGCUCAUUUGAUUCUGAUUUCCAGUACGAAUACAAACAGUGAAAGCGUGGCCUAUCGAUCCUUUAGACCUUUAGAAUUUGAAGCUAGAGGUGUAUGAAAAGUUACCACAGGGAUAACUGGCUUGUGGCAGCCAAGCGUUCAUAGCGACGUUGCUUUUUGAUCCUUCGAUGUCGGCUCUUCCUAUCAUUGUGAAGCAGAAUUCAUCAAGUGUUGGAUUGUUCACCCACUAAUAGGGAACGUGAGUUUGGACCAUCGUGAGACAGGUUAGUUUUACCCUAUUGAUGAUUGUGUCGCAAUGGUAAUUCAACCUGGUACAAGAGGAACCGUUGAUUCGCACAAUUGGCCAUCGCGCUUGGUUGAAAAGCCAGUGGCACGAAGCUACCGUGUGUUGGAUUAUGACUGAGCACCUCUAAAUUAGAAUCUGGCCAGAAGCGACGCGUUGUCUACCGCUCAUUUGCCGACCAGCAAUAGGGACCCUCCGGCCCCCAAAGGCAUGUGUAGUUGGCUAAGCCCUCGUGGCAAACGAGCCGCGCCGGCCGCCUUGAAUUACAAUUUCCAUCGGGUGACGGAUUGAAUCCUUUGCAAACGACUUAAAUAUGCGACUAGGUAUUGUAGUGGCAGAGUGGC